AACGCUGGCGGCGUGCCUAAUACAUGCAAGUCGAGCGAACGGACGAGCAGCUUGCUUCUCUGAUGUUAGCGGCGGACGGGUGAGUAACACGUGGAUAACCUACCUAUAAGACUGGGAUAACUUCGGGAAACCGGAGCUAAUACCGGAUAAUAUUUUGAACCGCAUGGUUCAAAAGUGAAAGACGGUCUUGCUGUCACUUAUAGAUGGAUCCGCGCUGCAUUAGCUAGUUGGUAAGGUAACGGCUUACCAAGGCAACGAUGCAUAGCCGACCUGAGAGGGUGAUCGGCCACACUGGAACUGAGACACGGUCCAGACUCCUACGGGAGGCAGCAGUAGGGAAUCCUCCGCAAUGGGCGAAAGCCUGACGGAGCAACGCCGCGUGAGUGAUGAAGGUCUUCGGAUCGUAAAACUCUGUUAUUAGGGAAGAACAUAUGUGUAAGUAACUGUGCACAUCUUGACGGUACCUAAUCAGAAAGCCACGGCUAACUACGUG
rnacentral:rRNA from 1 species